rnacentral:tRNA from 5 species
AGGCGCAUAGCUCAGUUGGUUAGAGCACCACCUUGACAUGGUGGGGGUCGGUGGUUCGAAUCCACUUGCGCCUACCA